rnacentral:rRNA from 1 species
AACGAACGCUGGCGGCAUGCCUAACACAUGCAAGUCGAACGAGACCUUCGGGUCUAGUGGCGCACGGGUGCGUAACGCGUGGGAACCUGCCCUUAGGUUCGGAAUAACUCCCCGAAUGGGGUGCUAAUACCGGAUAAUGUCUUCGGACCAAAGAUUUAUCGCCUUUGGAUGGGCCCGCGUUGGAUUAGCUAGUUGGUAGGGUAAAAGCCUACCAAGGCGACGAUCCAUAGCUGGUCUGAGAGGAUGAUCAGCCACACUGGGACUGAGACACGGCCCAGACUCCUACGGGAGGCAGCAGUGGGGAAUAUUGGACAAUGGGGGGAAGGCUGAACCAGCAAUGCCGCGUGAGUGAUGAAGGCCUUAGGGUUGUAAAGCUCUUUUACCCGGGAUGAUAAUGACAGUACCGGGAGAAUAAGCUCCGGCUAACUCCGUG